rnacentral:rRNA from 1 species
CUACGGAGGAUGCGAGCGUUAUCCGGAUUUAUUGGGUUUAAAGGGAGCGUAGGUGGGAUAUUAAGUCAGCUGUGAAAGUUUGGGGCUCAACCUUAAAAUUGCAGUUGAUACUGGUUUCCUUGAGUACGGUACAGGUGGGCGGAAUUCGUGGUGUAGCGGUGAAAUGCUUAGAUAUCACGAAGAACUCCGAUCGCGAAGGCAGCUCACCGGGCCGGAACUGACACUGAUGCUCGAAAGUGCGGGUAUCAAACAGGAUUAGAUACCCUGGUAGUCCGCACAGUAAACGAUGAAUACUCGCUGUUUGCGAUACACUGUAAGCGGCCAAGCGAAAGCGUUAAGUAUUCCACCUGGGGAGUACGCCGGCAACGGUGAAACUCAAAUGAAUUGACGGGG